UUCGCAAUGCCCGAAAGGGUGACGAAGCGACGCCGCGUGAGCGAAGAAGGCCUUAGGGUUGUAAAGCUCUGUCGAGGGUUAUGAAAUGUAAACAGGUUAAUACCCUGUUUGUUUGACAAAAGCCCAAGAGGAAGUCACGGCUAACUCUGUGCCAGCAGCCGCGGUAAUACAGAGGUGGCAAGCGUUGUUCGGUAUUAUUGGGCGUAAAGAGCACGUAGGUGGUUUUAUAAGUCAGGUGUGAAAGCCUUCUGUUCAAAGGAAGAACGGCAUCUGAAACUGUAGAUCUCGAGUGUAGGAGGGGAGAGUGGAACUUCUGGUGGAGCGGUGAAAUGCGUAGAUAUCAGAAGGAACGUCGGCGGCGAAAGCGACUCUCUGGCCUAUUACUGACACUGAGGUGCGAAAGUUAGGGGAGCAAACGGGAUUAGAUACCCCGGUAGUCCUAACCGUAAACGAUGGGCACUAAGUAGAGGGGUUUU
rnacentral:rRNA from 1 species